GUAGUAUUCUUUCCGUCCGAAAAUACUUGUCGUAGAAAUGGAGAAAAAUGAAUGUAUUUAAAAUUAAAAUACAUCUAGAUACAUCCAUUCCUCGGACAAGUAUUUUCGGACGGAGGGAGAUUGAU
rfam:Triticum aestivum genome assembly, contig: Triticum_aestivum_CS42_TGACv1_scaffold_526937_6DL